AAGGAAGGCACGUUUUUCUCAGAAGAUGAAGCUGUAUUUCUGGGUAUUUUCGGUUUUAUAGAUUUCAGGAAAGACAUCAUCGAAGGAAGAACUGUGAUGGAUGCCCUCCGUGAGACAUGAGCACAAGGCUUGAAACAGCCUCAUCUACCACAAAGCUACUGCCAGAGCCAUCUAAAAUGUUUCUCUGCUAUAAAAAUAAAAUAUAUGAAGAACAAGC